rnacentral:rRNA from 1 species
GACGAACGCUGGCGGCGUGCUUAACACAUGCAAGUCGAACGAUGAACCCGGAGCUUGCUCCGGUGGAUUAGUGGCGAACGGGUGAGUAACACGUGAGUAACCUGCCCUUGACUCUGGGAUAACUGCGGGAAACUGUAGCUAAUACCGGAUACGACCCUCGGCGGCAUCGCCAGGGGGUGGAAAGAAUUUCGGUCAAGGAUGGACUCGCGGCCUAUCAGCUAGUUGGUGAGGUAACGGCUCACCAAGGCGACGACGGGGAGCCGGCCUGGGAGGGUAACCGGCCACACUGGGACUGAGACACGGCCCAGAAUCCUACGGGGGGCAGCAGUGGGGAAUAUUGCACAAUGGGCGCAAGCCUGAUGCAGCAACGCCGCGUGAGGGAUGACGGCCUUCGGGUUGUAAACCUCUUUCAGCAUCGACGAAGCGAAAGUGACGGUAGGUGCAGAAGAAGGACCGGCCAACUACGUGCCAGCCGCCGCGGUAA